GGUUAAGUUAGAAAGGGCGCACGGUGAAUGCCUUGGCACUAGGAGCCGAUGAAGGACGGGACUAACACCGAUAUGCUUCGGGGAGCUGUAAGUGAGCUUUGAUCCGGAGAUUUCCGAAUGGGGAAACCCACUGUUCGUAAUGGAACAGUAUCUUUAUCUGAAUACAUAGGAUAUUGAAGGCAGACCCGGGGAACUGAAACAUCUAAGUACCCGGAGGAAGAGAAAGCAAAUGCGAUUUCCUGAGUAGCGGCGAGCGAAACGGAAUUAGCCCAAACCAAGAGGCUUGCCUCUUGGGGUUGUAGGACACUCUAUACGGAGUUACAAAGGAACGAAGUAAAUGAAGCGACCUGGAAAGGUCCGUCGAAGAAGGUAACAACCCUGUAGUUGAAACUUCGUUCCCUCUUGAGUGGAUCCUGAGUACGGCGGAACACGUGAAAUUCCGUCGGAAGCUGGGAGGACCAUCUCCCAAGGCUAAAUACUACCUAGUGACCGAUAGUGAACCAGUACCGUGAGGGAAAGGUGAAAAGCACCCCGGAAGGGGAGUGAAAGAGAUCCUGAAACCGUGUGCCUACAAGUAGUCAGAGCCCGUUAACGGGUGAUGGCGUGCCUUUUGUAGAAUGAACCGGCGAGUUACGAUCCCAUGCAAGGUUAAGCUGAUAAGGCGGAGCCGUAGCGAAAGCGAGUCUGAAUAGGGCGUUUAGUAUGUGGUUGUAGACCCGAAACCAGGUGAUCUACCCAUGUCCAGGGUGAAGUUCAGGUAACACUGAAUGGAGGCCCGAACCCACGCACGUUGAAAAGUGCGGGGAUGAGGUGUGGGUAGCGGAGAAAUUCCAAUCGAACCUGGAGAUAGCUGGUUCUCUCCGAAAUAGCUUUAGGGCUAGCCUCAUGUUGUGAGAGUCUUGGAGGUAGAGCACUGAUUGGACUAGGGGCCCCCAACGGGUUACCGAAUUCAGUCAAACUCCGAAUGCCAAAGACUUAUCCAUGGGAGUCAGACUGCGAGUGAUAAGAUCCGUAGUCAAAAGGGAAACAGCCCAGACCACCAGCUAAGGUCCCCAAGUAUACGUUAAGUGGAAAAGGAUGUGGAGUUGCUUAGACAACCAGGAUGUUGGCUUAGAAGCAGCCACCAUUUAAAGAGUGCGUAAUAGCUCACUGGUCGAGUGACUCUGCGCCGAAAAUGUACCGGGGCUAAACGUAUCACCGAAGCUGUGGAUUGACAUCUUUGAUGUCAGUGGUAGGAGAGCGUUCUAAGUGCUGUGAAGUCAGACCGUAAGGACUGGUGGAGCGCUUAGAAGUGAGAAUGCCGGUAUGAGUAGCGAAAGACAAGUGAGAAUCUUGUCCACCGAAUGCCUAAGGUUUCCUGAGGAAGGCUCGUCCGCUCAGGGUUAGUCGGGACCUAAGCCGAGGCUGAAAAGCGUAGGCGAUGGCCAACAGGUUGAUAUUCCUGUACCACCUCCCCGCCGUUUGAGUAAUGGGGGGACGCAGUAGGAUAGGGUAAGCGCGCUGCUGGAUAUGCGCGUUCAAGCAGUUAGGCUGAUGAGUAGGCAAAUCCGCUCAUCAUGAAGGCUGAGCUGUGAUGACGAGGGAAUUAUAGUACCGAAGUUCCUGAUUCCACACUGCCAAGAAAAGCCUCUAGCGAGGCGGGAGGUGCCCGUACCGCAAACCGACACAGGUAGGCGAGGAGAGAAUCCUAAGGUGAUCGAGAGAACUCUCGUUAAGGAACUCGGCAAAAUGACCCCGUAACUUCGGGAGAAGGGGUGCUCUGGUAGGGUGUAUAGCCCGAGAGAGCCGCAGUGAAUAGGCCCAGGCGACUGUUUAGCAAAAACACAGGUCUCUGCGAAGCCGCAAGGCGAAGUAUAGGGGCUGACGCCUGCCCGGUGCUGGAAGGUUAAGAGGAGGGGUUAUCCUUUGGGAGAAGCUCUGAAUCGAAGCCCCAGUAAACGGCGGCCGUAACUAUAACGGUCCUAAGGUAGCGAAAUUCCUUGUCGGGUAAGUUCCGACCCGCACGAAAGGCGUAACGAUCUGGGCACUGUCUCAACGAGAGACUCGGUGAAAUUAUAGUACCUGUGAAGAUGCAGGUUACCCGCGACAGGACGGAAAGACCCCGUGGAGCUUUACUGUAGCCUGAUAUUGAAUUUUGGUACAGCUUGUACAGGAUAGGUAGGAGCCUGAGAAGCCGGAGCGCUAGCUUCGGUGGAGGCGUCGGUGGGAUACUACCCUGGCUGUAUUGAAAUUCUAACCCGCGGCCCUGAUCGGGCCGGGAGACAGUGUCAGGUGGGCAGUUUGACUGGGGCGGUCGCCUCCUAAAAUGUAACGGAGGCGCCCAAAGGUUCCCUCAGAAUGGUUGGAAAUCAUUCGUAGAGUGUAAAGGCACAAGGGAGCUUGACUGCGAGACCUACAAGUCGAGCAGGGACGAAAGUCGGGCUUAGUGAUCCGGUGGUUCCGCAUGGAAGGGCCAUCGCUCAACGGAUAAAAGCUACCCCGGGGAUAACAGGCUUAUCUCCCCCAAGAGUCCACAUCGACGGGGAGGUUUGGCACCUCGAUGUCGGCUCAUCGCAUCCUGGGGCUGUAGUCGGUCCCAAGGGUUGGGCUGUUCGCCCAUUAAAGCGGUACGCGAGCUGGGUUCAGAACGUCGUGAGACAGUUCGGUCCCUAUCCGUCGUGGGCGUAGGAAAUUUGAGAGGAGCUGUCCUUAGUACGAGAGGACCGGGAUGGACACACCGCUGGUGUACCAGUUGUCUUGCCAAAGGCAUCGCUGGGUAGCUAUGUGUGGACGGGAUAAGUGCUGAAAGCAUCUAAGCAUGAAGCCCCCCUCAAGAUGAGAUUUCCCAUAGCGCAAGCUAGUAAGAUCCCUGAAAGAUGAUCAGGUUGAUAGGUCAGAGGUGGAAGCGUGGCGACAUGUGUAGCUGACUGAUACUAAUCGAUCGAGGACUUAACCAA
rnacentral:rRNA from 1 species